rnacentral:rRNA from 1 species
CACGCCGUAAACGAUGAUCACUCGCUGUUAGCGAUACACAGUUAGCGGCUAAGCAAAAGCAUUAAGUGAUCCACCUGGGGAGUACGGCCGCAAGGCUGAAACUCAAAGGAAUUGACGGGGGCCCGCACAAGCGGAGGAACAUGUGGUUUAAUUCGAUGAUACGCGAGGAACCUUACCUGGGCUUAAAUGUUGAGUGCAUGAGGUAGAAAUACUUCUUCCCUUCGGGGCUCUCAGCAAGGUGC